GCCCAGUAUAGAUCACUUCUGGAACCGAGAGGAGACACCGGGAGGUGGAGAGCUUUGAGUUGGCAAAAUAUUAACCCAAAAGAUAUUGAAGGGAAAACAGUAGGAAGAAAACAGGAGUGAUUGGGUUACCUGGAGGCUACCAAGCUGCUAUCAUGCAGAUCCUUUCUGGAAGAAGCUAACUCCGUGAGCAAAGCGUGUAGGAUUAACUCGUCUGGCAUUGCCGGGGAAGAGCUGCUUGGUUUAUUCUGCAAGUUCAGUGACUGGCUAUUCCUGGGAAGCAUUUGGAAAAUCCUCACUGAAGGAAUGUGUUGGAGAUGGCAACUUUAUAAAUUCAGACUCAUGGUUCAUAUGGUGCAAUGAUUUCCAGUGAAGACAAAGACUUCUUACCCUGGUCUCUCCUUCCUUCAUAUUUAGAGAGUAAUCCGGGGUUCCU